UACGGAGGGUGCGAGCGUUGUCCGGAAUCACUGGGCGUAAAGGGCGUGUAGGCGGGUAGAUAAGUCGGGCGUGAAAUCCCUAGGCUCAACCUAGGAACUGCACUCGAAACUGUUUAUCUUGAGUGCCGGAGAGGAAAGCGGAAUUCCUGGUGUAGAGGUGAAAUGCGUAGAUAUCGGAAGGAACAUCAGUGGCGAAAAGCGACUUCCUGGACCAAUACUGACACUCAAGUGCGAAAGCGUGGGGAGCAAACAGG
rnacentral:rRNA from 1 species